GAAGGAGCCUGAGAAACGGCUACUACAACUACGGUUCGGCAGCAGGGAAGAAAAUUGGCCAAUCCUAAUUCAGGGAGCCAGUGACAAGAAAUAGCAAGCUGGGAAACCUAGUUUCUACGGCAUUGAAAUGAGAAAAGUGUUAAUCUCUUAGCGAGGAACAAUUGGAGGGCAAGUCAUGGUGCCAGCAGCCGCGGUAAUUCCAGCUCCAAUAGCGUAUAUUAAAGUUGUUGCAGUUAAAAAGCUCGUAGUUGAACUUCUGUUCAGGUUUAUAACGACUCGUCGUGUAAAACUGGACAUACGUUUGCAAACUAAAAUCGGCCUUCACUGGUUCGACUUAGGGAGUAAACAUUUUACUGUGAAAAAAUUAGAGUGUUCCAGGCAGGUUUUAGCCCGAAUACAUUAGCAUGGAAUAAUGGAAUAGGACUAAGUCCAUUUUAUUGGUUCUUGGAUUUGGUAAUGAUUAAUAGGGACAGUUGGGGGCAUUAGUAUUUAAUAGUCAGAGGUGAAAUUCUUGGAUUUAUUAAGGACUAACUAAUGCGAAAGCAUUUUGCCAAA
rnacentral:rRNA from 1 species